ACGAUAAUACAUUUUCAUAUAAGAGAGAGAGAGAGAGAGAGAGAGAGAGAGUUUAACCUUCUACUAUAUCACUAACUAGGGAUUUAGUAGAAAAAAGUAGAUUAAAGUUAUCAAUAAUCGGACCAUCGGGAGAGAAGAGCAUUCCAAAAGAAGUUAAAAGUCACAAAGUUUUCGAAAACCAUCAACAGUGAGAUAAAUUUUGAUAUUACAUACCUCAAAUGUUAUUACCCCUUUGUUGAAGUAGAGGUUU
rnacentral:lncRNA from 1 species